rnacentral:rRNA from 1 species
GUGGGGAAUAUUGGACAAUGGGCGCAAGCCUGAUCCAGCCAUGCCGCGUGAGUGAUGAAGGCCUUAGGGUUGUAAAGCUCUUUCAGUGGGGACGAUAAUGACGGUACCCACAGAAGAAGCCCCGGCUAACUUCGUGCCAGCAGCCGCGGUAAUACGAAGGGGGCUAGCGUUGUUCGGAUUUACUGGGCGUAAAGCGCACGUAGGCGGAUCGUUAAGUCGGGGGUGAAAGCCUGGAGCUCAACUCCAGAACUGCCUUCGAUACUGGCGAUCUUGAGUCCGGAAGAGGUGAGUGGAACUCCUAGUGUAGAGGUGGAAUUCGUAGAUAUUAGGAAGAACACCAGUGGCGAAGGCGGCUCACUGGUCCGGUACUGACGCUGAGGUGCGAAAGCGUGGGGAGCAAACAGGAUUAGAUACCCGAGUAGUCC